ACCAUUAAUUUUCAUGAACCCCUAAUCUAUAAUGAAUGACUCCAUAUUUAUAUGGAAGACACCAUGCUAGGAUUAGUAACAAGAAUUUAUAAUUCUCCAAAAUGCAAAUAUAAACCAACAUGGAUGGACCAUUGGUAGUUACCGAACCUAAAUUCAAUGCAACAACACCUACAAGAAAACUCUGCAGUACUUACUCGUUAACCUAACACCAGCGCAUUACAGGAAAGAUUUAAAAAAAGAGAAGGAAUUCGGCAAAUGACGGCCCCGCCUGUUUACCAAAAACAUCGCCUCUUGACUUAUAAUAAGAGGUCCAGCCUGCCCAGUGAAUUUUAAACGGCCGCGGUAUCCUAACCGCGCGAAGGUAGCAUAAUCACUUGUUCUUUAAAUGGGGACUCGUAUCAACGGCAUCACGAGGGUUUUACUGUCUCCUCUUUUUGAUCAGUGAAAUUGAUCUUCCCGUGAAGAAGCGGGAAUAAAUUUAUAAGACGAGAAGACCCCAUGGAGCUUUAAACCAAAUAACAACUUAACCACUUAUCCCAUAAUAAAUUUAAGCCCUGUUAUAAGGUUUUUGGUUGGGGUGACCGCGGAGUAAAACACAUCCUCCACGACGAAAAAAACAGAAUUUUUAUUUAAGAACCACACUUCUAGAAAUUAGUAUACUAACGUUUACUGACCCGACAAUCGAUCAACGGACCAAGUUACCCUGGGGAUAACAGCGCAAUCUACUUCAAGAGCUCAUAUCGACAAGUAGGCUUACGACCUCGAUGUUGGAUCAGGGUAUCCCGGUGGUGCAGCCGCUACCGAAGGUUCGUUUGUUCAACGAUUAAAACCCUACGUGAUCUGAU
rnacentral:rRNA from 1 species